UGGGGAAUUUUCCGCAAUGGGCGAAAGCCUGACGGAGCAAUACCGCGUGAGGGAUGAAGGCCUAUGGGUUGUAAACCUCUUUUUUCAGGGAGGAAUAAAUGACGUGUACCUGAAGAAUAAGCAUCGGCUAACUCCGUGCCAGCAGCCGCGGUAAGACGGGGGAUGCAAGUGUUAUCCGGAAUCACUGGGCGUAAAGCGUCUGUAGGUGGUUAAAUAAGUCAACUGUUAAAUCUUGAGGCUUAACUUCAAAAUCGCAGUCGAAACUGUUUGACUAGAGUAUAGUAGGGGUAAAGGGAAUUUCCAGUGGAGCGGUGAAAUGCGUAGAUAUUGGAAAGAACACCGAUGGCGAAGGCACUUUACUGGGCUAUUACUAACACUGANAGACGAAAGCUAGGGUAGCAAAUGGGAUUAGAUACCCCAGUAGUCCUAGCUGUAAACAAUGGAUACUAGAUGUUGAACAGAUCGACCUGUGCAGUAUCAAAGCUAACGCGUUAAGUAUCCCGCCUGGGAAGUAUGCUCGCAAGAGUG
rnacentral:rRNA from 1 species